AGCACUGUGGCUCUGCUGUUCCCUCUUAUGCCCUGUGUUGAUCUUGCUUGACUCCAAAGAAUUUAGGAAUAGCACCAGCAACUGGAGCCCUGCUCUGUCUCAAAUAUUUUUCCCCUGGAAGAAAGGAAUUAGUCUUUUCAAUACAGUCUAAACUACAGUCAUGUGGAGUUUUUCUUAUAAAACUUUUCAGUGAAAAAGAAAAAGAUUGAAGACAUCAUUAAGAAAAUUUUGGAGCCCACCUACCCUACUGUAGAGCCUUUGUGCUACAGCUCAGACUCAGACGUGAAAACAUAAAUGCCAUAAUGCAAAAGCACCGAAGUCUUCUACUGGAUCUGGCCCAAGGAUCUCUCAAUUCUUUCCACGUGUUUCCAUGUGCAAGACUUCUGCUGGUCUAAGCCACUUUCC
rnacentral:lncRNA from 1 species